GCCAUUUUGCGGAGGGGAUCCGAAUUCUUAAAGGCAGCGGUAUUGGUACCAGUGCUUAGUUCGGCGGCAGGUAACAGAAUUCAAUUACAAUGGGGAACGUUUUUGAAAAACUCUUUAAAAGUCUCUUUGGGAAAAAAGAGAUGCGGAUUCUGAUGGUGGGUUUGGAUGCCGCUGGGAAAACCACCAUCUUAUAUAAGUUGAAGCUGGGAGAGAUUGUGACGACCAUCCCUACAAUCGGUUUCAAUGUGGAGACGGUGGAAUAUAAAAACAUCAGCUUCACAGUCUGGGAUGUCGGUGGCCAAGACAAAAUCAGACCUUUAUGGCGACAUUAUUUCCAGAACACACAAGGUCUGAUUUUUGUGGUCGACAGUAACGAUAGAGAGCGGGUCAAUGAAGCCCGAGAAGAACUAACCAGAAUGUUAGCUGAAGAUGAGCUCAGAGAUGCAGUUUUAUUGGUGUUUGUAAAUAAACAGGAUCUUCCCAAUGCUAUGAAUGCAGCAGAGAUAACAGACAAGCUCGGCUUACACUCCCUCCGCCAGAGGAACUGGCUCUCCAACCAGCUCAAAAACCAGAAGUGACGGGAAGCGCUCCGUUCCCUGUGCAUCAUGGCCAAAGCAGCUGGCCUCUCUGUGUGCGUGUGUGCGUGUGAGGAGCCGAGUGUGGGCGUGUGGCCGGGCGUGGGAGCAGCUUUCUCACAUGGUGCCUUAUACAUGUGCUAGGGAAACCAGUCUUACAUGUUAUGAACAACGAGUGUUACAUUUUAAAUGCUACCUUCCAUUUUAAUGGCUGUGAUGGCCAGUUUGGCAGUGGAUGCAGGGGUCCAGGGGGCUCCGUGCACAACAACCAGAGUGGCCUCGAGAUGGGAAGAAGGCGGAGGGUGGGCGGGGGACCGAGUUCGUUUGUGCCGUCCUGGGUCUGGCGUCUCUGCCCACCUGGGGUCCGCUCAGACUUUGGCAUCCUUUUCCCAUCACUGCCAGAGCUAGCAGCUCGCCUUUCAGUGCUUUGAAGCAAAUGGUCCUCAAGAGAAAAAGGCUCUUGCUUCCUGCAGGUAAGAAGUUCAGAUUUGAACUUUUCCCUGAAGCGAUAUUCUAACCUGGAUUUCCUGGUUUAAUUGAAAGGAAUCGGUGGUCUUUUUCCAUGAGGGUAUCAGGACCUAGAAACUCUAGAAAAGCAUCCAGUCCUUUCCUUCUUUGCCUCUUAGUUGCCAAAUGGAGACCCUGGGGUCGUGACCCCAGCACGCAGCAAAGGCUCUUCCCCGGGCUCCACAGCCGCACGUGCAGGGUCCAGUUAAGGCAGGAGGUGCCGGUGGAGCCUGUGUUCCUGCAUCACCGCCCCGGGCUUCAGGCUCCUGAGACCGCUGCUCCCACGUGUCUGCUUUGUGCUGAAUGUUCUCCGCUCACAGCUGGACGUUCCCUCCUGGGGUGGAACUGUCACUGUGUACAGUGUCUCAGUCCAGCCUUCGGUUUGGAUGAGCUGCUGUUCCCAGAACCACACGCCUGUGAGUUCUGUGCGUCUGUCAGAGAAUCAGGUGGUCAACACCGGGGGGUGAAGCUCCCGGCAGCCCCUGGUGUGGUCCCCGAGGUGGUUGGUGCUAAAGUUCGCUAUGAAGAAUGUCUCGUCCAGACCACUCUCCGUAGCCCUGACUCCCUCGUCUGGCUGGGAGUAAUGUCUUCGGUGGAAAGAUGUCUUAGGUUGUCCUCAGAACAGUCGGAGAAAUGGCCCGGAAAUGAGCUCAGUCACUCGGUAUCUAGAGCACUUUUGCCCAGACAGCUGUUGGCCAAAUUUGCACCGAAGCUCUUCCACUACUACCUUUUAAAAUUCCUUAGCCAAGGAGGAAAAUGUUAGGUGAAUUUUAACAAAAGUAAACCAUGUUUAUUGACAGCAAUGAAGUAGCUAUAACUAGGAAGAACUUUCAUGCCAUGAUAAAUGUGGGAUGUAAUGUUUUUCUUUCAAAUAGUGACUUUAAAGAAUGCUCAUUGUACUCCUGGCUACAGAGUCCAGAUUUGAUUUUUACUCAUGGGGUUAAGUCCUGAGAAACAUUUAGACUGUACGCCUCAGACUGGCAGGACCUGUGUCUUAUACUUUUGUAUUUAUGCUCAAUACCGUGUGCCUGGUACAGCCCUAGGCCUGGGUGAACACGUGUUGAUUGGCUGGACAAUAAAGACCUUGCUUUGGACAGAGGGGA
rnacentral:lncRNA from 1 species